AUGAACGCUAGCUACAGGCUUAACACAUGCAAGUCGAGGGGCAGCAUGGUCUUAGCUUGCUAAGACUGAUGGCGACCGGCGCACGGGUGAGUAACACGUAUCCAACCUGCCGUCUACUCUUGGACAGCCUUCUGAAAGGAAGAUUAAUACAAGAUGGCAUCAUGAGUCCGCAUGUUCACAUGAUUAAAGGUAUUCCGGUAGACGAUGGGGAUGCGUUCCAUUAGAUAGUAGGCGGGGUAACGGCCCACCUAGUCUUCGAUGGAUAGGGGUUCUGAGAGGAAGGUCCCCCACAUUGGAACUGAGACACGGUCCAAACUCCUACGGGAGGCAGCAGUGAGGAAUAUUGGUCAAUGGGCGAGAGCCUGAACCAGCCAAGUAGCGUGAAGGAUGACUGCCCUAUGGGUUGUAAACUUCUUUUAUAAAGGAAUAAAGUCGGGUAUGGAUACCCGUUUGCAUGUACUUUAUGAAUAAGGAUCGGCUAACUCCGUGCCAGCAGCCGCGGUAAUACGGAGGAUCCGAGCGUUAUCCGGAUUUAUUGGGUUUAAAGGGAGCGUAGAUGGAUGUUUAAGUCAGUUGUGAAAGUUUGCGGCUCAACCGUAAAAUUGCAGUUGAUACUGGAUAUCUUGAGUGCAGUUGAGGCAGGCGGAAUUCGUGGUGUAGCGGUGAAAUGCUUAGAUAUCACGAAGAACUCCGAUUGCGAAGGCAGCCUGCUAAGCUGCAACUGACAUUGAGGCUCGAAAGUGUGGGUAUCAAACAGGAUUAGAUACCCUGGUAGUCCACACGGUAAACGAUGAAUACUCGCUGUUUGCGAUAUACUGCAAGCGGCCAAGCGAAAGCGUUAAGUAUUCCACCUGGGGAGUACGCCGGCAACGGUGAAACUCAAAGGAAUUGACGGGGGCCCGCACAAGCGGAGGAACAUGUGGUUUAAUUCGAUGAUACGCGAGGAACCUUACCCGGGCUUAAAUUGCAGAUGAAUUACGGUGAAAGCCGUAAGCCGCAAGGCAUCUGUGAAGGUGCUGCAUGGUUGUCGUCAGCUCGUGCCGUGAGGUGUCGGCUUAAGUGCCAUACGAGCGCAACCCUUGUUGUCAGUUACUAACAGGUUCCGCUGAGGACUCUGACAAGACUGCCAUCGUAAGAUGUGAGGAAGGUGGGGAUGACGUCAAAUCAGCACGGCCCUUACGUCCGGGGCUACACACGUGUUACAAUGGGGGGUACAGAGGGCCGCUACCACGCGAGUGGAUGCCAAUCCCCAAAACCUCUCUCAGUUCGGACUGGAGUCUGCAACCCGACUCCACGAAGCUGGAUUCGCUAGUAAUCGCGCAUCAGCCACGGCGCGGUGAAUACGUUCCCGGGCCUUGUACACACCGCCCGUCAAGCCAUGGGAGCCGGGGGUACCUGAAGUGCGUAACCGCGAGGAGCGCCCUAGGGUAAAACUGGUGACUGGGGCU
rnacentral:rRNA from 1 species